AAUACAAAGGGUAAUAAUGUAAAUACACAAAUAACACAAUAUUAAAUUUUCCAUCAAUAUAUUGGCGAAAACCACGCAACUGUCUGACCCUUCUGAUUCUCUAGCAGCCCGAAAAUUUCCCAUCACUCCAAGCCAGUGAUUAAAAAAAAAAGCUAUGGUGCUAUCAAUUUUCAAUGCCCACGCUCCCCCAAGUAUUGAUGAGAAUAACACAUAUGGGCCAAACAUUAAGCAAGACGAUGUGCAGGAAGCACGAGGGUAUUAUCAUAUAGAGCCUUCUAAAUGGCACAAGUCCCCUCCAUUAGUGAAUGCACUGAAAGCCGCGGCUGACGAAAAUGUUGCAAUGUUUGGUUUUCCUGGACACAACCGAGGUCGAGCAGCACCACUGUCAAUGACUCAGCUCAUUGGUGAAAGGUCAUUCAUUCAUGACAUAUCUGAGGUGGACAACCUCUCAACUCCGCAAGGGCCUAUAUUGGAAGCACAAAAACAAGCAGCAGAAGUAUUUGGAGCAUCAAAGACAUGGUUUCUUGUUGGAGGUACAACUUGUGGAAUUCAUGCAGCUAUAAUGGGUGCUUGUAGUCCUGGAGACACCUUAAUUCUACCUCGAAAUUCUCACAAAUCAGCAAUAUCUGCAAUGGUCUUAUCAGGGGUGAUACCUAAGUAUAUAUUUUCUGACUAUGAUUUUGAUUGGGAUAUACCUACCACAAUCUCUCCAUCUCAGGUAAAAAGAGCAAUUGAGGAAUUGAAAUCAGAAGGCCGAAAACCCAGUGCUGUUCCCCUACUUAUCAAGGAAUAUGCUUAAACAUAAAAGAGAUCUCUGAGCUAUGUCACCUACAUAACAUUCCUCUUAUUGUAGACGAAGCUCACGGUGCUCACUUCAGAUUUCACCCAUCUCUUCCCUUGUCAGCCCUCGAGCAAGGCGCGGAUGUGGUUGUUCAAUCCACUCAUAAAGUUCUUUCGUCUCUUACUCAAUCAUCUAUGUUACAUGUAUCCAAUAAUAAUAUUAUAGACAAAGAUAAAAUCAGCAGAUGUCUUCAAACCCUUCAAAGCACUAGUCCAAGUCCCCUGCUUUUGGCUUCACUGGAUGCUACUACAACUCAACUAAAAGAACAUUCAGCAAGUAUUUUUGACAAUGCAAUUAAAUUAGCAAUGGAGGCUAGAAACACAAUCAAACAAAUUUUAGGCAUCACCAUCUUUGAUUUCCCCGACAUGGACCCUUUACGAAUAACUUUUGGUGUCUAUGGUCUUGGUGUUUCUGGAUAUGAAGCCGAUGACUUCUUAUAUAUGGACCAAAAGAUCAUCUCUGAGCUCUCUACACAGAGAUAUCUCACACUUGUGAUUCUACCAGGGACUUGUACAGAGCAUAUCGAUAGGCUAAUCUUAGGAUUUAAGCAUUUAUCAUUGUCGUCAUUGUUCAUCCAACAUCAAAGGAAGAACGAAAUAAAGCAUAUUCAUAUAAAUUUCAACCUAUGGAAUGACAUUGACAUGCAAUUAACUCCACGAGAGGCUUUCUUUGCAAGGAAAAAGAAGGUAGAUGUUAAAGAUGUAGUUGGAAAAGUAUCUGGUGAGUUGAUAUGUCCAUAUCCACCUGGUAUUCCUAUAAUUGCUCCUGGUGAAGUGAUAUCAGAAAGAAUGUUAGAUAUUUUACUGCGAUUUAAAGAUGACGGUGCCAAAGUGAUUGGAGCAUGCGAUCCUCUUCUCUAUUUUAUACUUGUCUGCGAUAUUUAGAAGGAAAAAUAAACCUGUGGUACUCAGUAAAUGAAUAAUAAAGGUCGUGAUUUUUAUUCA